ACACGUUACAUUCAAAGCGCAUUAAAGUGCGUGAGAAGUGAAUUUAUAUUUAGGGAUGCAUCGAAGUUCGUCAACCGCAGCGAAUAAGAGAAAAGA